UAAGGUCACGGCGAGACGAGCCAUUUCUCAUUACGAUAGGUGUCAAGUGGAAGUGCAGUGAUGUAUGCAGCUGAGGCAUCCUAACAGACCGAGAGAUUUGAAC
rnacentral:rRNA from 1 species